GAUGAACGCUGGCGGCAGGCCUAACACAUGCAAGUCGAGCGGACAGACGAGGAUCGUUCUCCGCUUACGUGAGCGGCGGGCGGGUGAUGAACACGUGUAUGACCGACCGAGGGGGCUGAGGUAAGGUCGGGGGAGCGAAUCUCAUACCGGAUAAGAGAGUGAACGUGAGGGUUCAUUGGACAAAAACGUUUUUGCUGUGACUAGGUCGUGUUUCCUCGCCGGAUUGGCUAGUUGGUAAGGUAACGGCGUACCAAGGCUACGAUGCGUAGCCGACCUGAGAGGGUGAUCAGCCACACUGGAACUGAGACACGGUCCAGACUCCUACGGGAGGCAGCAGUAGGGAAUCUUGGGCAAUGGGCGAAAGCCUGAUGGAGCCAUGCCGCGUGUGUGAUGAAGGUCUUCGGAUUGUAAAACUCUGUUAUUAGGGAAGAACAGCUGUGUAUUUAAAUCUGGAUGUCUUGACGGUACCUAAUCAGAAAGCACCGGCUAACUACGUG
rnacentral:rRNA from 1 species